UAAAUUAAAAUUAGAUUGUGACAGAAUUUUAAUUAUUAUCAUAGAAAAUCAUCUCUUCUCGAUAGACAUAGAGUACAAUUAUGUUCAUCUACGGACAAGGUGUGUGAACGUUAUCCUUCCUUUUAUUGCAUUACAAAUUCUCUCUCCCCUAUACAACAUAUCCGAUUGCAGGAGAAAUAAUUCAUCUCAAAUGAGAAAAAAACCCUUUAUGAUAAAUUCUCUCUCCCCUAUAUAACAUAUCCG
rnacentral:lncRNA from 1 species